rnacentral:lncRNA from 1 species
GGGAGCCCAGAAACCUGGUAUGCCGGCAAAAAGGGCUGGAGUGCAAUGACACGAUCUUGGCUGACUGCAACCUCUGCCUCCCGGGUUCAAGCGAUUCUCCUGCCUCAGCCUCCUGAGCAGCUGGGAUUACAG